rnacentral:rRNA from 1 species
UACGAAGGGGGCUAGCGUUGUUCGGAAUUACUGGGCGUAAAGCGCACGUAGGCGGAUUGUUAAGUCGGGGGUGAAAUCCUGAGGCUCAACCUCAGAACUGCCUUCGAUACUGGCAAUCUCGAGUCCGGAAGAGGUUGGUGGAACAGCUAGUGUAGAGGUGAAAUCGUAGAUAUUAGCUAGAACACCAGUGGCGAAGGCGGCCAACUGGUCCGGUACUGACGCUGAGGUGCGAAAGCGUGGGGAGCAAACAGGG